AAAAUGGCUCGCUAGCCCCGCCUACAGCAAUUGAGCCCCUGCAGCACGUUUAAUGUAGACUAACGAAACUUGGUACACAUGUGUAUCAUGUCAAGACGUACAAAGAAGCUCAUUGGAGCAAUACCCUAAACCCAACAGGAAGUCCGCCAUUUUGAAUUUACAGUUCGAAAUUAGUGUUUU